GACGAACGCUGGCGGCGUGCCUAAUACAUGCAAGUAGAACGCUGAAGAGAGGAGCUUGCUCUUCUUGGAUGAGUUGCGAACGGGUGAGUAACGCGUAGGUAACCUGCCUGGUAGCGGGGGAUAACUAUUGGAAACGAUAGCUAAUACCGCAUAAAAUGGAUUAUCGCAUGAUAAUCCAUUGAAAGGUGCAAAUGCAUCAAUACCAGAUGGACCUGCGUUGUAUUAGCUAGGUGGUGGGGUAACGGCUCACCAAGGCGACGAUACAUAGCCGACCUGAGAGGGUGAUCGGCCACACUGGGACUGAGACACGGCCCAGACUCCUACGGGAGGCAGCAGUAGGGAAUCUUCGGCAAUGGACGGAAGUCUGACCGAGCAACGCCGCGUGAGUGACGAAGGUUUUCGGAUCGUAAAGCUCUGUUGUAAGAGAAGAACGAGUGUGAGAGUGGAAAGUUCACACUGUGACGGUAGCUUACCAGAAAGGGACGGCUAACUACGUG
rnacentral:rRNA from 1 species